rnacentral:rRNA from 1 species
AAAUUGAAGAGUUUGAUCAUGGCUCAGAUUGAACGCUGGCGGCAGGCCUAACACAUGCAAGUCGAACGGUAACAGGAAACAGCUUGCUGUUUCGCUGACGAGUGGCGGACGGGUGAGUAAUGUCUGGGAAGCUGCCUGAUGGAGGGGGAUAACUACUGGAAACGGUAGCUAAUACCGCAUAACGUCGCAAGACCAAAGAGGGGGACCUUCGGGCCUCUUGCCAUCGGAUGUGCCCAGAUGGGAUUAGCUAGUAGGUGGGGUAACGGCUCACCUAGGCGACGAUCCCUAGCUGGUCUGAGAGGAUGACCAGCCACACUGGAACUGAGACACGGUCCAGACUCCUACGGGAGGCAGCAGUGGGGAAUAUUGCACAAUGGGCGCAAGC